GCCGCAGCCAUGUGUACGUAUGGGAUGCCGUUGUGGCGGAGAGGUGAAGCCUGGUGGGAGGACCGAGGAACGAUGGCGGCGGAGGAGGGACAAGAGGAGUACGUGUAUAGAAUCGGCACAGCGGAAGAGUGGGAGCAGAUGCAGAAGGAAGGCUUCGCUUACGGCGGCGACCUCGACAAGUCCACCGGUUGUUUCCACCUGAGCAAGCUCUCUCAGGUUCAAUCCACUCUUCAGAACUUCUUCCUCAACUUCAAGGGCGACCUCUACCUUCUCCAGGUCGACGCCAAGAAGGUCAUAGAGAUGCAAGCGUUCGUUUAUUCCGUCGAAGAUGUUCUAGGCCUCGAUAAGAUUUUCGAGCGGCGUUCUUUCAUAGCAACUAGCGAGUGUUUUCCAGAAUCUUGUGUAAUAUGGAUUAGAAAAGUGAGGAAGAAACUAGUUGUUUCGCGCUGAUUCCCGGGACUUAACUCGAAGCUGCAAAAUGAUGUUUGGGCUAACAAGAAGUCGGCAUUGUUAUCGAGCAAUCAAGUCGAACAUUUGCAGCAGUUCUCGAAAUUCAGUUUGAAGGAUGUUGCUGUUCUGUUGGAACAAGAUAGCAUAUGGACUUUCUUACGUUUGAUUCGGGGAAGCACGCAGGCAGUGCCUACAAAAUUUUGAUGCACCUCAACCUCGGAGACGGAUUGGUGUAUGAAGUUGUCGAUGGCGUCAAUAGCUUCCCUCACUAUUAUGGGCCAUCCCGAAGCUUCAGUCCGCUCCCCUUGGAAGCUGUCACGAAGGCGGAGAAGCUGACUCUGUCAGACGGUCGAUUCUCCUGCAGUUUUCUCAGUUAAUACCAAUACACAAGCUGCUGUUAUUCCAGUACAGAAACUCGAGAAACUGAAACAUGUAGUUAAUAAAUCCAUAUGAGUAUGGUUGGAGUGACAUUUUAGUACUCGUGAAAUGGGAUGCGGGUCCUGUGGUGUCAUGUUUUGGUCGGCAGCCCUCCCUGGUCGGGCUGACGUGUUUGUGAUUGAUCAGCAGUAGAAAUGCCGUAAAUAUGUUAUUGCAAACGGAUUUUUCCCAUUGACAAGUACAGCUUUCCUUUAGCUUAACUACUAUACGCAUUAUAAGCUUUGAUCGGCGA